rnacentral:rRNA from 1 species
UUAUAGUUAAAGCCCCGGCGGUUAGAGAUGGGCAUGCGUGACAUUAGUUUGUUGGUGAGGUAACGGCUCACCAAGACCACGAUGUCUAGGGGGUCUGAGAGGAUGGUCCCCCACACUGGUACUGAGACACGGACCAGACUCCUAGGGGAGGCAGCAGUGAGGAAUAUUGGUCAAUGGGCGCAAGCCUGAACCAGCCAUGCCGCGUGAAGGAUGACGGCCCUAUGGGUUGUAAACUUCUUUUGUACGGGAAGAAACCUUUCUACGUGUAGAAACUUGACGGUACCGUACGAAUAAGCAUCGGCUAACUCCGUGCCAGCAGCCGCGGUAAUACGGAGGAUGCAAGCGUUAUCCGGAUUUAUUGGGUUUAAAGGGUACGUAGGCGGAAGAUUAAGUCAGUAGUGAGAUCCUGCAGCUUAACUGUAGAACUGUUAUUGAUACUGGUUUUCUUGAAUAUAGUUGAGGUAGGCGGAAUGUGUAAAUGUAGCGGUGAAAUGCUUAGAUAUUACACAGAACACCGAUUGCGAAGGCAGCUUACUAAGCUAUGAUUGACGCUGAGGUGCGAAAGCGUGGGGAGCGAACAGGAUUAGAUACCCUGGUAGUCCACGCUGCUAACGACUGACUCACCUCGUUGCUGGCAAUACACUGCUAGCGACCUAGCGAAAGCACUUAGUGACUCCACCCGGGGAGUACGACUCGCAAGACUGAAACCUCAAAGGAACUGACGGGGGCCCGCACAAGCGGAGGAACACUGCUGGCUUUAACUCGACUGAUACGCGAGGAACCCUUACCCGGGCCUUAACUGCAAAACGACGGACUCGGGAAACCG